rnacentral:lncRNA from 10 species
CCCACCCCUGCCGGCCGCCCGAACCGCUGCCUGGUCCUCCUCUCCGGUCUUCGGCUUCCCUCCCAGUCUAGUCUUCACAUUGUGCUCGGCUUGGGUUGCGGGAGGACCCGGGCCUGGGGGCCAGGCCCCGGCGACGGCGCCUGGCUACCCUCAGGCGCGCACAAUCGGCGUCCUCCCGGGCCGGGGCUAGGGACGGCGGAGACCCUCCCUGCAGGCGUGGCGUGGUGUGUGCGCGCUCCGGCGGCUGAGCCUCGGCGGCUUCUCGAAAGCAGCGGAGAAAAGCGCCGCAGUGCCGCUGCCCGUGGAGGCGGUGGUGGCGGCGGCGGCAGAAGACGCCCACUGGCGGAGCAGGCGCUCCCCACGCCGCCGCCGCCGCCGCCGCCUUCCGCGCCCACGUAGCGCGCCCCGCGGGACUCGGCCCCUGCGCCAGGCUCCCGCACCCGAGUGAUCCUCUGUGCGCCGCCUGCACCCGGGGCCGGGGCGGGCGGACAGAGCAACCGCUGCGUCUCUGCCCUGCCUUGUCACAUCUGGGUCCGGUGUUUCGGAUUCUAAAUCCUGAGUCCUGCAGCUGCUCCAGCUGUGCGCUGCUGGGCGAGCCACGUCGGCCUGCCCGUUGCCCGAGCCAGGGAAUCCUCCUGGUAGCGGGCCAGCAGCUCCGACCCAGCUGUGCUCAGUCAGAGUUCCCGGGAGAGAGUUCCAACUCGGACCUUUGGUUGGAGUUUAAAUCAACUCGCAGUGUUUCCCAUAAACUAGGGUUUGAAAUACGGUUCCUCCCCAGGACUCCCUUUCGCAUACUCACUUUAAAACGAACUUCGUGUGCACAAGCCCAGUUUGCCUUGGUUGGGGUUAGAGAACGGAAAGGGCAAACUGUGGCCAAAAAUGAGCAAGACUGUGCGAUCAUUGCCCCAAACCCUGAGACCGCCUUGCCAUAUGCGGCUCUCUUGGACACCCCCACCCCCUUCCGUAGCCAUGAAUCCAGGCAGUUGCCACUGAAGGGAAAUGAGCCGCCCAAUGGGCGCUCAGAACUAGGAGCCGCCAGAAGUUUGGGGAAGUUGGAGCGCAAGAGCGCACACAGAUGCACAGGUGUCCGCGUUCGGGCAGGCACGCGCGGCGGGGCCACCAUGGCGCGCUGGGUCCGAGGAGGGGCGGUGGCUGUGCUGUUCCACGGUGGCACGGGCUGUCCGGACUGCCUGGACGAGGUCACCUUCCCCGGAGUGGAGCACACGCGCCAAAGCUCAGCUUUCACGAAGGGCAAAACGGUCACCCAAGCGCCAGGCGUGCGCUACAGUGCAGCAACUGGGUUGACCCAGGGCCCUGGGCUCCCGGUGUGCCCCGGGUCCCGGGGCCAUUUCUCGCCCUCCACGUUUUCUUCUUUCUAUCCAGUUUCACAUGUUUAUUUUGAAGCGUGCUCCAGAUUCCUCACUAGUCGAUGCUUUCCCCGACUCCCAUCCAAACUCCCCCCAAUGGAAAAUAACACUUUUGUAUUUGCACCAAGCUGAGCAGUUGGGAUGCAAAGGACAUGCUGGGGCUCCCCUCCCCCAGUAAAGUCCACAGACGUCUCCGCGAUUGCCGGGCAGAUUCUGAGUGUCGCGUGUAACGGGCAUCAGACUUGGCACUCACUAGGUCAGAAUCCCUACAUUUGUGGAAGAAGAAAAUGAUUCCUGUGACUCUUACCUUAGGGGCGCUGCCCUUGUUUCUGAAUUUUUUCGGCAAAGAAAAAAACUGCAAUGGUUGAGCCAGGCUGCCGGCAGCCUCCCGGCUUGACGCUUCUCCAGCCGUGCAGAGUCCACUCCGGUUACUUUGCUGCGAGUCCGGAGUUUGUGCUUUCGCGACUGGACCAGGCAGCAAGGGUCUGAGGGCUGCCCACACAUUUAGGGAAGUCGAGUUUCUCCUCAAGUGUUUAUUGUUUAUUCCUUUACACGCAAAAUUGUUUCUCCUUGUCAUUUAAGUUUCUUUAUUUGCAUUUUGGAGUUACUAAAUCUAUUUUUCAGUUCCAAGAAAAUAUACAUUUAACUUGCCCAUAAGCCCCCUUGCGGGCGCAGGAGACAGGGUGGGAAACCCCAAAUAUUUGUCCUGGGAGCCCUUAUUAAAUCAGGAGGCAAACUUUAAAAUUUUCAUUAACCCUUUCCCAGAAUCAACCUCCUGUUUACCUUUCGUCCUUUUCUCCAAGUGCUUGCUGGAAGGGACGUUUUCCUGGACAAAUUAAAAAUCACAAGGCAUAACAACGGAAAAGAAAACAACUUGAGGAUGGAGUUUACUGAUUAGCUCUGAAAUUUUCAUACAUGAUCUCCCUCCUUCAUACUGGUGUCCACGUUUGUUACUAGAAAGAAAGAAAAUAAAAGAAAAAGAAAGGAAAGGAAGGAAGAAAGAAAAGAAAGAAAGAGAGAGAGAAAGAAAGAAAAGACAGAAAGAGAAAGGAAGGAAGGAAGGUUUUAAUGAGGAGACAAUGCUUUUUGUCCCUGAGCUUCUCUUGUUCAAGUGCAGAACAGAAAAAGGAGAGAGAAAGUUUGAUGCAGGGAUCAGGCCUCCUCAGCCGCUGAUGCCUCAUGAUAGAAGCACCGUGGCUUCUCAAGGACUGUAGGUUACAGAAGGCUCCCGUCUAGACUGAGUCAGGCCUGGUGGCUGGCACACACACAGUCUACCCAGUGUCUGCAAGAGCAGCCAAUUGGGAGACACUCCACACUUCUCUCUGAGUCAUUGCCUUGUCCAUCCAGGUGCCCACAGCACACACCAACCCACUGCAAACAAGACCUUUUCUCCUGGGAGAAAGCCUCAACGUUUUCAAGCUUGAGUUUUCAGACAACCGGGGUGAAACUGGAGGCCAUUAUCUUAACUGAAACAACUCAAAACCAAGAAGUCAAGCACUGCAUAUUCUCACUCAGAAGUGUGAGCUGAAAAAUGUGUACACAUGGAUGUACAGAGUGGAAUCACAGACUUUGGAGACACAGAAGGGUGGGAAAGUGGGAGGGAGGUGGGGGAUAAGAAAAUUGCCGAUUGGGUACAAUAUACACGAUUUGGGCAAUGGCCACACUAAAGUCCAGACUUCACCACUAUGCACCAUUUCCAUGUAACAUAACUGCACUUGUAGCCCUUCAAUUUAUAAAAGUAAACAUUUUCAACAGUAAGAAAUAUCAUGCAUCAGUUAACCUGGCCAUGUGGGAAACCGGACAGGUGCCGCAGAGGAAGAGGUGGGUCAGGGUGCUGGGCAGGUUGGAAAGGGCGUGGUCGGCUGGGGCCUCAUUGAGAAGCUGAUGUGUGAGCCCAGCUGGAAGGUGGUGAGGGAAGGGGUUCCAGGAGGAGGGGAUAGCCGUGAGAGGGGUCCAAGGACUUGCACCCAGGCCCAUGUGCCUGGAGUGGACUAGGAGGUGGGGGGUGACCCGGCCAGCUCACGGGCUGUUUAGGCCACUGACUUGGCUUCCAGUCUUCACAAAAUGGGAAACAUCAGUGACUCACACGAUCUGACUUUUUUUUUUAAAGCUCACCCACAUUUCACGGCUAUUUUCCCUGAUGUGCUCUGGGAGGGCGGAGUGCCGUGGGACUGGCGAGCGCCUCCCUUCCUGCCUGUCGGCAUGGACUUGCAACUGCAGGAGUGCAUGGACUGAAGGACCACACGCACUCACAGCAUGGCUGGGGCCUCCAGGGCCAGCUCCUCCAGCAGGACGGGUCCUCACUCAUUCCCGAGAAAUGAAACUAUUCUGAUAACGACUUUCCAAGAAAAAGUGCAAAAUCUUGCUUGAAUGAUUCACUUCCUUUCUUCCUGUGAUAGUUAAUUUUAUGUUAACUUGGCUGGGCCACAUGGCCUGUUGCUUGGCCAAAUCCCAGUCUAGAUGUUGCUGUGAAGGCAUUUUGUAGAUGAGGAUUAACGUUAGAUCCGUCAACUUUCAGGAAAGCAGAGACCCUGUCCACGGUGUGGCUGGGCCUCAUCCGAUCAGUGGACGACUUCAAGAGAAAAAGGCUGAGGUCCUCUAAGGAAGAAGAAAUCUGCUUCCCAACAGCCUUCAGGCUCAAGCUGCAACACCAGCUCUUCCCUGGGCCUCCAGCCUGCCCUGCCUGCCCUGCAGCUUUUCCACAUGCCAGCACAGUUGUGUGAGCCGGUUCCUUAAAAGCUGUCUCUCUAGAUACAUAUAGUCACAUACAGUGAGCCCUCCAUAUCCAUGGACUCCACAUCCCUGGAUUCAACCAGCCUUGUUGGAUUAAAAUAUUUAGAAAUAAAAUGUCUGCACUGAAC